UCGUGCAACCGGGGGUGCGAGGGCUGUCGCUGACUUUUUAAAAAGGUCGUGCACGCCCGAGUGCUCUCACACACAUCCACCUCACCCUUUUGUGCAUCACCGCGUGGGUUCUCCUUUGCUGGAGGGCUCACGUUUUCACACAAAAACACCCUUUUAAUGCAGUGUAGAAUGUUCUUGCGAUGACUCGCAAUAAAUA
rnacentral:misc_RNA from 1 species